rnacentral:lncRNA from 1 species
AAAAAAAAAGAAUCAAUAGUGAUUCCUUAAAUCUCAAUCUAAAUAGUAUCAGAAAAAUGAUUUAUUCUAGAAAGUAUAUUUAUAACGUAGAAGGAUAUAGCAAAGAAGUAUUUAUUUAUGUUCAUAAUUCAUUUAAUAGAAGAUGAACCCCCAACAAAAUUUUAAGGUUAACAAUAUGAAGAAACUUAACCACCAUACAUAUGUUUAUGGGAAUUGAUGAAGAAACAAAAACUCAAAUGAAAAUCAAGACAUUCGGCAAAAUCGAUCCCUAUAAUAGAAAACUGGAUUUUCAUGGCUCACACAAACUUUGUUUCACUAAUUAUACAAGUCGCCAAUAAAUAAAUUAAAUUCUCACCAAAUUAAAAAUAAAAUCGUGGGAUUGGCUUGGCUGAAACUUUAGUAUGAGAUUGAGAUCCGUAAAAAUCAACCAAUUUCUGCAAAACAAAAACCUGAGUUUUGAGAAGCACGAUGUAGUCGGCGGUUUCUUGGUAAAGUUGGUCGGGCUUUAUUUGGGCCGUGUCGGAGGGGAUGAGGCUCUUCAGGGCCUCCAGCUUGUCGGAAACGGACUCAAAUCUUCGGGCUGAAGGUUUUCUCGUUAGCCUCCGCGUCAUGUCUGUGGCGGCGACGGCGGAGGGGCUGAGAAAUGGAGUUAUGAGGGAUAUAUAUUCGCCACUUCUGCUUUUAUACAAUUCUUUUUUUCAAUAUCGCAACAUCACAUGUCUU